rnacentral:misc_RNA from 1 species
GAGAACCAAGAGAUCCGUUGUUGAAAGUUUUGACUAUUAAAAAUAAUCUCGUGACAAGUUUAUAAAAAAUUUGGUUGUAAGUUUAUGUCCUCUGGCGGCAGGCAGGGGCCCACCGCCAAAGCAAGUUUGUCCAGAACAAAACACAUGUGGUGCAAUUAAGCAAAUCAGUAAUGAUCCUU